rnacentral:miRNA from 1 species
CCGUUCACUCUUCUCGUCAGUC